rnacentral:rRNA from 1 species
UUUCCCCCGUUUGGGAGGUCCGGUGGAAUCUUGCUAGGCAUCCAUUCCACGUACUUGGAACUUUUGUCCACGUCAAAGGGGGGAUAUCAUAUCAAAUUUCACCUUUGAAACAAGUCCGACAAUUUCCUUUGGAGCCUGGCGGCUGUAUAUGGUGCCGCUCAGGAGUUUAAGUCUGCUUUUCUAAAGGAACUUUUUAAUACCUGCCGAGACAAUCCCCAUCCCAUGUUAAUCGGGGGGGAUUUCAAUAUCCUUCGAUAUCAGCAGGAAGAAAACAAUGACCGGUUUGAUACUAGGUGGCCUUUCCUAUUCAAUGUUGUUAUUGACAGCCUAGAUCUGCGGGACCUCACUAUGUCUGGCCGUCAGUAUACCUGGGCCAAUAACUGAUCAGUUCCAACUUUCGAAAAACUUGACCGGGUGCUGGUUACCACCGACUGGGAUUACAAAUAUCCCCUAGCCUUGGUACAGGCACUAGAAAGGAUUGAGGCCUUAUCGGAUCACGCUCCAUUGCUAACCGAUUUUGGAGAAACACCUCCAAGUUCUAACUGUCAUCAGUUUAAAUUUGAAUUGGGAUGGCUCACUAGAGAGGGAUUCCUGGACAUGGUUAAGAAAGUGUGGGUGCGUCAACCUCGCGGCAACACACCCAUUCAACGAUGGAACAAUCAAAUUUGCGCCUUGCGCCGAUUCCUUCAUGGAUGGGCUAAACACACUACUGACAUUUACAAAAAAGAAAAGUUGCGGCUUUCUACUUUAAUCGAUACCCUCAAUAAAAUUGCGGAGGUGAGGCCUCUUUUUGCUGCUGAGAUUGAGCAAAAUAUCCAUCUUAAUGAGCAGAUUGCACGCUUGCUUCGUGAGGAAGAGAUUAAAUGGUACCAACGUUGCAAGGCUGUUUCGCUCGUUCAAGGUGAUGCUAGCCAAUGGCAGACAUAG